rnacentral:rRNA from 1 species
CUUGUCUCAAAGAUUAAGCCAUGCAUGUCUAAGUAUAAGCAAUUAUACAGCGAAACUGCGAAUGGCUCAUUAUAUAAGUUAUCGUUUAUUUGAUAGUACCUUACUACUUGGAUAACCGUGGUAAUUCUAGAGCUAAUACAUGCUAAAAAUCCCGACUUCGGAAGGGAUGUAUUUAUUAGAUUAAAAACCAAUGCCCUCUGGGCUCUCUGGUGAUUCAUGAUAACUUCUCGAAUCGCAUGGCCUUGCGCCGGCGAUGGUUCAUUCAAAUUUCUUCCCUAUCAACUUUCGAUGUUUGGGUAGUGGCCAAACAUGGUUGCAACGGGUAACGGAGGGUUAGGGCUCGACCCCGGAGAAGGAGCCUGAGAAACGGCUACUACAUCCAAGGAAGGCAGCAGGCGCGCAAAUUACCCAAUCCCGAUUCGGGGAGGUAGUGACAAUAAAUACUGAUACAGGGCUCUUUUGGGUCUUGUAAUUGGAAUGAGUACAAUUUAAAUCCCUUAACGAGGAACAAUUGGAGGGCAAGUCUGGUGCCAGCAGCCGCGGUAAUUCCAGCUCCAAUAGCGUAUAUUAAAGUUGUUGUGGUUAAAAAGCUCGUAGUUGAACCUUGGGCCUGGUUGGCCGGUCCGCCUCACCGCGUGUACUGGUCCGGCCGGGCCUUUCCCUCUGUGGAACCCCAUGCCCUUCACUGGGUGUGGCGGGGAAACAGGACUUUUACUUUGAAAAAAUUAGAGUGCUCCAGGCAGGCCUAUGCUCGAAUACAUUAGCAUGGAAUAAUAAAAUAGGACGUGCGGUUCUAUUUUGUUGGUUUCUAGGACCGCCGUAAUGAUUAAUAGGGACAGUCGGGGGCAUCAGUAUUCAAUUGUCAGAGGUGAAAUUCUUGGAUUUAUUGAAGACUAACUACUGCGAAAGCAUUUGCCAAGGAUGUUUUCAUUAAUCAGGAACGAAAGUUAGGGGAUCGAAGACGAUCAGAUACCGUCGUAGUCUUAACCAUAAACUAUGCCGACUAGGGAUCGGACGAUGUUAUUUUUUGACUCGUUCGGCACCUUACGAGAAAUCAAAGUGCUUGGGCUCCAGGGGGAGUAUGGUCGCAAGGCUGAACUUAGGGAGUGAA